rnacentral:rRNA from 1 species
CUACGUGCCAGCAGCCGCGGUAAUACGUAUGUCACAAGCGUUAUCCGGAUUUAUUGGGCGUAAAGCGCGUCUAGGUGGUUAUGUAAGUCUGAUGUGAAAAUGCAGGGCUCAACUCUGUAUUGCGUUGGAAACUGCAUGACUAGAGUACUGGAGAGGUAAGCGGAACUACAAGUGUAGAGGUGAAAUUCGUAGAUAUUUGUAGGAGUGCCGAUGGGGAAGCCAGCUUACUGGACAGAUACUGACGCUAAAGCGCGAAAGCGUGGGUAGCAAACAGGAUUAGAUACCCUGGUAGUCCACGCCGUAAACGAUGAUUACUAGGUGUUGGGGGUCGAACCUCAGCGCCCAAGCUAACGCAUUAAGCACUCCGCCUGGGGAGUACGACCGCAAGGUUGAAACUCAAAGGAAUUGACGGGGGCCCGCACAAGCGGUGGAGCAUGUGGUUUAAUUCGAAGCAACGCGAAGAACCUUACCAGGUCUUGACAUCCCUCUGACCGCUCUAGAGAUAGAGCUUUC